AUUGAACGCUGGCGGAAUGCUUUACACAUGCAAGUCGAGCGGCAGCGCGGGGGCAACCCUGGCGGCGAGCGGCGAACGGGUGAGUAAUACAUCGGAACGUGUCCUUAAGUGGGGGAUAGCUCGGCGAAAGCCGGAUUAAUACCGCAUAAGCUCUGAGGAGGAAAGCGGGGGCUCCGUAAGGACCUCGCGCUGUUGGAGCGGCCGAUGUCGGAUUAGCUAGUUGGUGGGGUAAAGGCCCACCAAGGCGACGAUCCGUAGCUGGUCUGAGAGGAUGAUCAGCCACACUGGAACUGAGACACGGUCCAGACUCCUACGGGAGCAGCAGUGGGGAAUUUUGGACAAUGGGGCAACCCUGAUCCAGCCAUUCCGCGUGAGUGAAGAAGGCCU
rnacentral:rRNA from 1 species